rnacentral:rRNA from 2 species
AAGUCGAGCGGACUUAAAAAGCUUGCUUUUUAAGUUAGCGGCGGACGGGUGAGUAACACGUGGGCAACCUGCCUGUAAGACUGGGAUAACUUCGGGAAACCGGAGCUAAUACCGGAUAAUCCUUUCCUACUCAUGUAGGAAAGCUGAAAGACGGUUUACGCUGUCACUUACAGAUGGGCCCGCGGCGCAUUAGCUAGUUGGUGAGGUAACGGCUCACCAAGGCGACGAUGCGUAGCCGACCUGAGAGGGUGAUCGGCCACACUGGGACUGAGACACGGCCCAGACUCCUACGGGAGGCAGCAGUAGGGAAUCUUCCGCAAUGGACGAAAGUCUGACGGAGCAACGCCGCGUGAGUGAUGAAGGUUUUCGGAUCGUAAAACUCUGUUGUUAGGGAAGAACAAGUACGAGAGUAACUGCUCGUACCUUGACGGUACCUAACCAGAAAGCCACGGCUAACUACGUGCCAGCAGCCGCGGUAAUACGUAGGUGGCAAGCGUUGUCCGGAAUUAUUGGGCGUAAAGCGCGCGCAGGCGGUCCUUUAAGUCUGAUGUGAAAGCCCACGGCUCAACCGUGGAGGGUCAUUGGAAACUGGGGGACUUGAGUGCAGAAGAGAAGAGUGGAAUUCCACGUGUAGCGGUGAAAUGCGUAGAGAUGUGGAGGAACACCAGUGGCGAAGGCGACUCUUUGGUCUGUAACUGACGCUGAGGCGCGAAAGCGUGGGGAGCAAACAGGAUUAGAUACCCUGGUAGUCCACGCCGUAAACGAUGAGUGCUAAGUGUUAGAGGGUUUCCGCCCUUUAGUGCUGCAGCAAACGCAUUAAGCACUCCGCCUGGGGAGUACGGCCGCAAGGCUGAAACUCAAAGGAAUUGACGGGGGCCCGCACAAGCGGUGGAGCAUGUGGUUUAAUUCUAAGCAACGCGAAGAACCUUACCAGGUCUUGACAUCUCCUGACAAUCCUAGAGAUAGGACGUUCCCCUUCUGGGGACAGGAUGACAGGUGGUGCAUGGUUGUCGUCAGCUCGCGUCGUGAGAUGUUGGGUUAAUUCCGCAACGAGCGCAACCCUUGAUCUUUAUUGCCACCAUUUAUUUGGGCACUCUAA